AGGGGAGGAAGGCCACGUGACAACAGAGGCAGAGACUGGUGUGAUACAGCUACAAGCCAAGGGGGGCCAGGACCACUGGAAGCAGGAAGAGAAGAGGAAAGGUCCUCCCUUAAAGUCAUCAGAGGGAGGAUGGCCCUGCCAACACCUUGACUUUGGACUUCUGGCCUCUAGCCCUGGGAGAGAAUACAUGUCUGUUGCUGAAGGCCACCCAGCCUGGGGUCAUUUGUUCUGGAAGCCCCAGGACACUGAUGUAGGGCUUAUGGCUCUGCGGGGCAGGGAGGAUGGUGUUGGCCAGGGGACUGAGAUGCAGCAGAGCUGGGUACAUGGGGGCAUCAGGGAGACUGGACUCAACCCCAGCUCUGCCACCCAGAGCUGACUGGCUUUGGAUCAGCUAUGUAGCCGCUCCGUGCCUCAGUUUCCCUUUCUGUAAGUUGAGGAUACUAAUAAGUGUCCCAUGAGGCUGCUAUAAGGAUUGAAGGAGAUGAUGCAGCAAAAUAACACAGGAACAGAAAAACCCCGCAUGUCUCACUCAUAAGUGGGAGCUGAACGAUGAGAACACAUGGACACAGGGAGGGGCACAUCACACAGUGGGGCCUGUUGGGGGUGGGGGUCUAGGGGAAGGAGAACAUAAGGAGAAAUACCUAAUGUACAUGACAGGUCAAUGGGUGCAGCAAACCACCAUGGCACAUGUAUACCUAUGUAAAAAACCUGCACGUUCUGCACUUGUAUCCCAGAACUUAAAGUAUAAUCAAAAAGAAGAAAAAAAAAAAAAUGGAAGGAGAUGAUGAAUGCCUGCAACACCAGACUCUCACAUAGUAGUUGCCCAGAUAUUGUUAUUCCUUUUCUUCUCCAUUGCCGUUUUAAGCCUGGGCCCCAGCCUCAGACAGUCUGGGUUCAAGGCCAACCUUGCCACCUCAGCAGUAUGACUUGGCAAGUCACAAACCUCUUAAAGCCUCGGUUUCCCUCAGUCCCCCCAUUUGUAAAAGGGGGCUAUUGAGAGAUCAAAUGAGACAUUGCGUGCAAAGUCCUUCACCUGUCCCCCAGCUCGUAGGAAGGCCUCAUCUGGAAGUGGUUAAGCAGUCUAUGGCCAUACCACUCUGAACGUGCCCGAUCUCAUUUGAAAGCGGUUAAGCAAGUGCCGGGGGAGGGGGGGAGGGGGGCUCACACCUGCUUUGGGAGGCCAAGGCGGGUGGAUCAUGAGAUCAGAAGUUAGAGACCAGCCUGACCAACAUGGUGAAACCCCAUCUCUACUAAAAAUACAAAAAUUAGCUGGGUGUGGUGGCACGUUCCCAUAAUCCCAGCUACUCAGGAGGCUGAGGCAGGAGAAUCACUUGAACCCCGGAGGCUGAGGUUGCAGUGAGCCAAGAUCGUGCCACUGCACUCCAGCCUGGGCAACAGAGCAAGACUCCAUCUCAAAAAAACCAAAAACAAAACCAAAAAAAAAAAAGUGGUUAAGCACAUUGAAACUACUGUAUGUUGAAGGACUAUAGACCUGUAACACUUUGCCCUUCAAAGCGGGGUCCAUGAACCACAGCAUGAGCACUGCCUGGAUCCCGGAUAGAAACACGGAAUCUUGGCCUAUCUUAGAGCAGCUGACUCAGAGUGAGCCCUUGAUGAGACCCCCAGGUGAGCUGUAUGCACAGGAAGGUUGUGGGAAGUUCAGCGGUGAUUUGGUGUUUCCAACCUCUCACCACUCUCAGAUUCACCCAGGAAACGUGCUUUGAUCACAAAGUCUCAGACCUCCACGUAGGACGAGGUAAUGUGGAUUCACUAGGGACAGAGCCUGGGAAGCUGCAUGUUCAACAAGCUCCCGAGGUGAUUCUUUUCACCUGGAGACCUGGGAAACACCUAGCAAUGGACCAGCAUGGGGAGGCUGGAUAGCCUGGCCAGGAGUUUUGUUGAUCAUGGUAGCCUGGCCAAUUGGGUGGGCAUGUGGCCUAGGGAAGGGUUAAAGAGGCCAGAUGAGGACGCUUGAUCCCUGGAGAUCAAGGCUGCAGUGAGCUGCGAUUGAACCACUGCACUCUGGCCUGGGCAACAGAAGUGAGACUCUUGUCUCAAAAAAAAAAAAAAA
ensembl:lncRNA